rnacentral:rRNA from 1 species
UAAAACGUAGGUGGCAAGCGUUAUCCGGAUUUACUGGGCGUAAAGCGUGUGCAGGCGGAUGGCUAAGUGAGGUAUGAAAUCCCGGUGCUUAACAGCGGGAUGGUACCUCAGACUAGUGAUCUGGAGUCUGAGAGAGGGAUGUGGAAUUCCGGGUGUAGUGGUGAAAUGCGUAGAGAUCCGGAGGAACACCAGAGGCGAAAGCGGCAUCCUGGCUCAGCACUGACGCUCAGACACGACAGCAUGGGGAGCGAACGGGAUUAGAAACCCCGGUAGUCCAUGCCGUAAACGAUGCAGACUAGGCGCUGGUGGGCUCAACCCCAUCGGUGCCGCAGCUAACGCGAUAAGUCUGCCGCCUGGGGAGUACGGCCGCAAGGCUA